GAAUUCUUAUGAGUUCUUGUGAGUGUCAUCACACGUGUGUAAGUGGGCCUGUGCAUGUGCAAAUGCAUGCAUAUGUGUAAAGUGUGCAUAUUUGCAGGUGUUUGUGUGUGAUCACAUGUGUGUGGGUGUAAUGUAUACAUAGGAUGGCAUGUGUGCAAGCAUGCCAGAGUGUGUGCAGUGAAUAUGUGUUCAUGCAGGUGAGUGCAUCCAUGAAAAUCCUCACGUGUGUACGCUGAGUAUUGUGUGCACUUGACUGCAUGUGUGCCAUUGUGCCCACACAUGCAAGUGUGUUGGUGCGCGUGAAGCUUGUGGGAGUGCAAGUGUGUGAGUGUGUUGUAAAAGUGCACAUACAAGUGCAUGUGUGUGCAUAUGCAAGUGUUCAUUUGUUUGCACAUGUGUGAGUGCAAGGAUGUGAAUAUGUGUGCACAGUGCAUACAUAUGAGCAUGUGUGUGCAUUCCCAAGUGCCUGCCGUGUGUCCAGUAUGGACCAAUGCGCUAGAUGGUUAAUAAAGGGUAGGGGCUCCAGCAAAACCCUCCAGGUGUACAUCCUGCAACGUCAGUGAGGCCUCCUAGGGUGUGGAGCAGAAUCGCUAUGGGUUGGUGCAGACAGACUCCUAGGAGUCAGGGGGUGGGGACCAGGGUCAGAUGGAGGCCGAGAGCCAUGGUCCAAACAGUAAGAAGCACCUGCCCAGAGCACAAGUGAAAUGGGCAGAUAGGUGGGUACCCCAGGGAAAUGGUGAUCCUUAGUUGAAAGUCAAGAGGUCUUAGGACUUGGGAGCUAGAGACCCUGCCCUGCCAGGUUCUGAGUAAUCUGGAAUCACAGAAUGCAAUGCCUAGGGUGGACCUGGGCCUGAAGAGUCCCACUCAAGGAGGGGUCCUGACUGGCUUGCAUUGUGCAGUACGGUGGGCCAGGGCCAACCUCACCUCCUGAGUCCCUGGUGGUGUCAGCUAACAUUUGGGCCACUCCUUCAGCACAGCCUGGAUGGUUCUUUUCUCCAGAGUCCUAAGCCCCAUGACCUCCCAGGUCACCAGUCACCCAGUCUGUGCUGCCUCAGGUCCUCCCCUACAGCUACGAGAGCCCUGAUGCCUGAAGAUGAAAGGUCCCAGGACCUAAAACAGUCUCCAGCUCUCUCUUCCGUGAGACCUAGUGCAACACCAGGAGGCCAUGGGGUCAGAAAGGCCUGGGGUUGUGCCCCAGGAGGAGCAGCAUGCUUGGCCAGGUGCAAGCUUCAUUUCCUGUUGGAGAGAAUGAAUACUCAUGAUAGUUUCCCUCGUGGGCCUCAGAAGGAGUGACCGAGGCCUCUGCUCUCUUGGAGGGGCAUGCCAGUGUGAGCCUGCCCAUUACCAGGGUCAACCGAGGGGCUGAGAGCCAGGGUCAAGGCACUGACUGCCCCUUCACGGUGCCCCCAAGAAAAGCACACAAGGUACAACCCCUGUACCCACACACAGUUCACACGUGUGUGUAAAGCAUGACCACAAUCCCCGCUGCGCACUUACGGCAUGUCCUGAGGACCAGCUUCCCUGGCGUCAGUUCUCUGUCCCUUUAACCUUCACCUGUACAAUGCCAAAGAGCCCCCACAGUGGUGUGGGAAAGACGUAGCAGCCUCCAGGCAUGGGGGGCAGGGAGCUCUGCAGCCAGCAAGGACACUGGCUCCUGGUCAUUCCAGUCUGGGUGUCCUGGGCAAGAGAAUGCCCUGUGGCUUGGCCAGGCUGGGGGCAGACACAGGCCAGGUGGGUAGAAAGGGGAAAGAAGGCUGGGGUAGGUGGAGAGGUGGGGCUACAGCCGAGUGUGUGCAGAGCUGAGUUAUAACUCUAUAGGCACAAGAAGGGUGGGCUUCCAGGGCUCCUGGGGCAGCUUCUGCCCUUCCUUCUCACUGGGUGGACCCUCUCAGAGUAAGGGGAUGGAUAUAUAUCUCUCACAGCAGAGGACAGGGCCGUGUUUGGUUCCUGGAAGGGGGGCAAGCAACCCAGCCUCUCUUCAGGUCAGUUCAGUCACUCAGUCAUGUCCGACUCUUGGCGACCCCAUGAAUCGC
ensembl:lncRNA